rnacentral:rRNA from 1 species
CACGUAGGGCGCAAGCGUUGUCCGGAAUUAUUGGGCGUAAAGAGCUCGUAGGCGGUCUGUUACGUCUGCUGUGAAAACCCGGGGCUUAACCCUGGGCUUGCAGUGGAUACGGGCAGACUAGAGGCAGGUAGGGGAGAAUGGAAUUCCCGGUGUAGCGGUGAAAUGCGUAGAGAUCGGGAGGAACGUCUGUGGCGAAGGCGGCCACCUGGACCAGCACUGACACUGAGGCACGAAAGCGUGGGGAGCAAACAGG